GAUGAACGCUGGCGGCGUGCUUAACACAUGCAAGUCGAACGAUGAAGCCCAGCUUGCUGGGUGGAUUAGUGGCGAACGGGUGAGUAACACGUGAGUAACCUGCCCUUAACUCUGGGAUAAGCCUGGGAAACUGGGUCUAAUACCGGAGAGGAGCGUCCACCGCAUGGGGGGUGUUGGAAAGAUUUAUCGGUUUUGGAUGGACUCGCGGCCUAUCAGCUUGUUGGUGAGGUAAUGGCUCACCAAGGCGACGACGGGUAGCCGGCCUGAGAGGGUGACCGGCCACACUGGGACUGAGACACGGCCCAGACUCCUACGGGAGGCAGCAGUGGGGAAUAUUGCACAAUGGGCGCAAGCCUGAUGCAGCGACGCCGCGUGAGGGAUGACGGCCUUCGGGUUGUAAACCUCUUUCAGUAGGGAAGAAGCGAAAGUGACGGUACCUGCAGAAGAAGCACCGGCUAACUACGUG
rnacentral:rRNA from 1 species